rnacentral:lncRNA from 1 species
CCCCCGUCAGCAACCCGCAGCGCAGCGGCGGCAGAGCUCUAUAUAGGGCGCAGCCCAGAGUGGGCGGGACCAUCCCUGCCGCUCAUCCCAGCCCGGGGCCGCGAUUGGUCUCUCUCCGCGACGGGGCCACGCCCCCGCGUCGCGCGCGGCGGCCGUUACGCGGCGACGGUUGGCGGCCGUUACGCGGCGGCAGUUGGCGCGCGCGGCGGCAGCGGGUGAGGUGGCGCCUGCGCGCUGGGGGGGGGCCGGGGGCGGCUGGGGGUGGCGGUACCGCGGGGAAGGCCGGGACGCCCAGGGCCCGCUGCAGCCCGCCGCGCCGGGAGCCGCGCGAAGAGGCGCCGCCGGCGGCUCUGUUCGCGGGAAGGGGAAUAGGGCGGGACGUAGCGAGCCGCGGUACCGCUUCCACCCCCCGGGGCUGGUUCAGCCUCCUCGGCRCCGCUCGGGAGGCUGUUCCCGGCCUCCCAAGGGCCUGUGGGAGUCUUACCGCAACUUGCUCUCUUGAAGGCCGGAAAAYGCAGCGAGCAUCCGCUGCCGAGGGUCGGCCAUGAGACGCAAACGCAGAGGCAGCCCUGCCCGGCAGGUUGAGGCGUGCGAUGUCUGGCUGGACACGGCGAAGCUAAAGCAGCGCAGAGGACAGUCUCUCCUACCCAAGCCAAAAGUAUCUCAUCGCCUUCUGGAGAGGCACUGUGAGGGGUACACCUCAGUGCCUUCCACGCAGACAAGAGCAGCUCCAGCGUGCACCAAGCAAACCACCAUCUCCGCCUUCUUCAGUACCCAGACAGAUGAAAAAGACAAAGAAAACUCCAGGUUAUCUCCGCUUAUCCUAAAUAAAGAACAUAAAGAAAAAGGUAUUCCUUUGGCUGCCUCCCCUGUGAAGAUCUUGACGUUUCCGCAGAUAGAGGAAGCGCAGAAACCACCCUUCAGAGCUGAAGAUAAGAAGGUACAGAUUAUACCCCAGCAUCUUGUACAAAAAGCACCAGUCUCGCAGACCUCUUUGCCAGACUCUUUGCCAGACUCUUUGCUAGAAGCAGAGUCCCGCAGUAAGGGUGAGGCCUCCUGUGGGGGAGAAGAGGAUUUCUCCUUAGACUUUACCCAGGAUUCAGAGGGCAACCAGAUCCUAUCUUUGCCAGACUCUUUGCUAGAAGCAGAGUCCCGCAGUAAGGGUGAGGCCUCCUGUGGGGGAGAAGAGGAUUUCUCCUUAGACUUUACCCAGGAUUCAGAGGGCAACCAGAUCCUAGCUCACAGAAAUGUAGCUGACUUAUUUGCUGGAGAAACAGUCUCUGGAAGCAACAUAACUUCAAGAAAGAGAACAGACUCCUGGAUAAACAAAGAGGAGGGCCAGCUGGACCCAGAGGAGGAGAAGGAUGGACUUGAUAUCCAACCAAGRCAUGGUGCAAACCAGAGUAAGAAACCACACCGACUAUCUAGUAGCAAUAAUUCUUUAAUUGAUUUCUCCGAGCCUGAGAAUAUAAAUCCUGCUAUAAAGAGAGACAAUAUCGGGGCUGCUGGCUUUUGUUCAUCUCCUAAAAGAAYACCUAAAGCACAGCCUUUGAGAGAGCGCAGCCAAAACGCUGGUGGUGGUUCAGCUAAGGAAGAAUGGGACAGUAAGAACAGACUGAGCAGUCCCUUGAGGCAAUUGUUUACCCAGGAUUCAGAGGGGAACAGAGUAAUUUCUCACUACUGCCAGAAAGUGAGAUCUCCUCUAAAGGCGAAAAACAGCACUAGCAGUUGGCUGACUAACUCCCCAUACAAGGAUUGUUCCAGGGAUGCUACAAAUAGGAAUGUAAGCAAACUAGGGGAGCAUCAGUUAGAUGCAUGCUACGAUUUACUAUUCACCCAGGAUUCAGAAGGRAAUAGAGUUAUUAAACACUGA